UUAUGUUCGCCAUCCGAUCGAACUAGACCAACAGAACCGGCUCCAAGCUAUCCUUCUCCUUCAACCUCUAAUGAAAAUGAAAUCGAUGUCGGACCCCCCGAGUCGAUUAACAAACCCUACGACAGUGAACCGUGUUCUGAGGCCAACGCCAAUUGUCGUGCUAUCAGUUGUCCAUACGGAAUUGAAAGGUUCACAUCCAAUUCCGGAUGCGAUGAAUGCCGAUGCUACGAGCCUUGCCGUGGCUAUUCAUGCCCAGAAGGGACCGAAUGUCAAGCCGAAUUGGUUCGCGAUGAGUCCGAUCCUAAUCAGUCAGCCACUCGUAUCUAACCUGCGUGCAGACAAGGUA